rnacentral:rRNA from 1 species
CUAUGCGCCUUGCCAGCCCGCUCAGGUGUGCCAGCAGCCGCGGUAAUACGUAGGGGGCAAGCGUUAUCCGGAUUACUGGGUGUAAAGGGAGCGUAGACGGCAGUGCAAGUCUGGAGUGAAAGGCGGGGGCUCAACCCCCCGGACUGCUCUGGAAACUGUACAGCUGGAGUGCAGGAGAGGUAAGUGGAAUUCCUAGUGUAGCGGUGAAAUGCGUAGAUAUUAGGAGGAACACCAGUGGCGAAGGCGGCUUACUGGACUGUAACUGACGUUGAGGCUCGAAAGCGUGGGGAGCAAACAGG